AUUGAACGCCGGCGGCAGGCUUAACACAUGCAAGUCGAGCGGGGUGAUGGUGCUUGCACUAUCACUUAGCGGCGGACGGGUGAGUAAUGCUUAGGAAUCUGCCUAUUAGUGGGGGACAACAUCUCGAAAGGGAUGCUAAUACCGCAUACGUCCUACGGGAGAAAGCAGGGGAUCACUUGUGACCUUGCGCUAAUAGAUGAGCCUAAGUCGGAUUAGCUAGUUGGGGGGGUAAAGGCCUACCAAGGCGACGAUCUGUAGCGGGUCUGAGAGGAUGAUCCGCCACACUGGGACUGGGACACGGCCCAGACUCCUACGGGAGGCAGCAGUGGGGAAUAGUGGACAAUGGGGGGAACCCUGAUCCAGCCAUGCCGCGUGUGUGAAGAAGGCCUUAUGGUUGUAAAGCACUUUAAGCGAGGAGGAGGCUCUUUUGGUUAAUACCCAAGAUGAGUGGACGUUACUCGCAGAAUAAGCACCGGCUAACUCUGUGCCAGCAGCCGCAGUAA
rnacentral:rRNA from 1 species